rnacentral:rRNA from 1 species
AAUAGCGUAUAUUAAAGUUGUUGCGGUUAAAAAGCUCGUAGUUGGAUCUCAGUUCAAGCUAUGCGGUCCACUUGUUGGUGGCUACUGCUUAGCUGAACAUUUUACUGAGCUGUCUCUUGAUGCUCUUUACCGAGUGUCAUGAGCGAUCAGUACGUUUACUUUGAAAAAAUUAGAGUGCUCAAAGCAGGCGUAACGCCCGUAUAAUGUUGCAUGGAAUAAUGGAAUAGGACCUCGGUUCUAUUCUGUUGGUCUCCGGAACCUGAGGUAAUGAUUAAGAGGGACAGACGGGGGCAUUCGUAUUGCGGCGCUAGAGGUGAAAUUCUUGGACCGUCGCAAGACGAACUACAGCGAAAGCAUUUGCCAAGAAUGUUU